UUGCAUGUGCACAUGUCUGCCCCUCUUUUCUUUGGGAGUAGGAACAUGCUACAUUGAUUAAGGGGUUAUCAGGGCUACCAAUCUUCCAGAAGAGGUUGAGUAGUAGUAUAUUUCUCCUACAUUA